ACCUACAGCCUCACCACACUGAACACCAUGGAUCUUAUCUGAUCCCAGAAGUUAAGCAUGGUUAGGCCUGGAUAGUACUUGGAUGGGAGACCAACUAGGAUUACUAGGUAUUUGGGUG
rnacentral:rRNA from 1 species